rnacentral:rRNA from 1 species
UACGUAGGUGGCAAGCGUUGUCCGGAUUUACUGGGCGUAAAGAGCGCGCAGGCGGUCGUAUAAGUCGAAUGUGAAAGCCCCUGCUCAACUAGGGAGGGUGCGCCGGAUACUGAGGGGCUAGAGUGUGGGAGAGGAAAGUGGAAUUCCUGGUGUAGCGGUGAAAUGCGUAGAUAUCAGGAGGAACACCGGUGGUGUAAACGGCUUUCUGGACCAUAACUGACGCUGAGGCACGAAAGCGUGGGUAGCAAACAGG